GGACUACUGGGGUAUCUAAUCCCAUUCGCUCCCCUGGCUUUCGUUCCUCAGCGUCAGUUACAGCCCAGCGAGUCGCCUACGCCACCGGUGUUCUUCCCAAUAUCUACGCAUUUCACCGCUACACUGGGAAUUCCACUCGCCUCUACUGCACUCCAGUUCGCCAGUAUCCAAUGCACUCCCAGGGUUGGGCCCCGAUCUUUAACAUCAGACUUAACGAACCGCCUACGAACUCUUUACGCCCAAUAAAUCCGGACAACGCUUGCAUCCUACGUCUUACCGCGGCUGCUGGCAC
rnacentral:rRNA from 1 species